rnacentral:rRNA from 1 species
UCUAGAGAUGCGUGCUCAGCUACUCUCCAGGGCUAAGUCUGUUUGUGAAAGACAGUAUCAUGGACGGUGAUAAUCCGGUUCUUGCCUUGGAUGUUGUAGCGUUUUGAGCCGUCCUCAACGAGUCGAGUUGCUUGGGAUUGCAGCUCUAAGUGGGUGGUAAAUUCCAUCUAAAGCUAAAUAUUGGUGGGAGACCGAUAGCGAACAAGUACCGUGAGGGAAAGAUGAAAAGAACUUUGAAAAGAGAGUUAAAUAGUACCUGAAACUGCUGAAAGGGAAGCGAAUGAAGUCAGUGUUGCUCUUGGUGCUCUGCUUCCGUCCCUGCGGGGAUUGUGCAUCGAGGACUUUGAGCUUGUCAGGAUGAGUUCUCUGCCGCGGGAUAUGUUUUGUGAGCUGGACGCUUCGGCCGAACUCGCAUUCUCUGUCGUGGCUUGGACUGAGGUUCCAUCUUGCCAUUGCCUGCUCGUUGCUCUCUUGUUGCUGUCUCUGUCCUACUGCUUGCAGUGUUCAGUUGCAGUUGCUGGACUGUGCGGGUUAUGCAUGCAAGGUCAGGAUCCUGACGAAAUGGCUUUAUUUACCCCG